GACCGCGUAGCUCAGUUGGCAGAGCAUUGGGCUAGUAUUCCAAAGGUCGUAGGUUCGAAUCCCACCGUGGCCG